GACGUAGGGCGCGAGCGUUGUCCGGAUUUAUUGGGCGUAAAGAGCUCGUAGGCGGUUUGUCGCGUCUGCUGUGAAAUCCCGAGGCUCAACCUCGGGCCUGCAGCCGAUACGGGCAGGCUAGAGUUCGGUAGGGGAGACUGGAAUUCCUGGUGUAGCGGUGAAAUGCGCAGAUAUCAGGAGGAACACCGGUGGCGAAGGCGGGUCUCUGGGCCGAUACUGACGCUGAGGAGCGAAAGCGUGGGGAGCGAACAGG
rnacentral:rRNA from 1 species